rnacentral:rRNA from 1 species
AUUGAACGCUGGCGGCAGGCCUAACACAUGCAAGUCGAACGAGUGGCGGACGGGUGAGUAAUGUCUGGGAAACUGCCCGAUGGAGGGGGAUAACUACUGGAAACGGUAGCUCAUACCGCGUACCAUCGGAUGUGCCCAGAUGGGAUUGGCUUGUAGGUGAGGUAACGGCUCACCUAGGCGCAGAUCCCUAGCUGGUCUGAGAGGAUGAACAGAGAAACUGGAACUGAGAAACGGGCCAGACUCCUACGGUAGGGAGGAGUGGGGAAUAUUGCAAAAUGGGCUAAAGCCUGAUGAAGCACUGCCGUGUGGAGGAAGAAGGCCGUGGGGUGGGAAAGUACUUUCAGCGGUGAGGCGUUACCCGCAGCAGAAGCACCGGCUAACUCCGUGCCAGCAGCCGCGGUAAUAC